rnacentral:lncRNA from 1 species
AAUAGUAGGUUCAACAAAGAUAUUAGUCUCAAUGCCAUUGCUUUCCUUCGUUUAUGUGCGGCAAAACUUGCUGAAGGUGAUCUUGGCUCCUCGAGAAACAAGGACAAAGAAACUUCUGGGAAGCCUUCACCAUCUUCACCUCAUACAGAAAAAGACCACAAUAUUGAAAAGAACAAGGACAAAGAAGCUUCUGGGAAGCCUUCACCAUCUUCACCUCAUAAAAAAAAAGACCACAAUAUUGAAAAUGGAGAAUUGACAGAUAAGGAGGACCAUCUGUAUUUCUGGUUUCCUCUGUUGGCU